rnacentral:rRNA from 1 species
CCCCGGCGAGGGGAGUGAAAAAGAACCUGAAACCGUGUACGUACAAGCAGUGGGAGCACCCUUUGGGGUGUGACUGCGUACCUUUUGUAUAAUGGGUCAGCGACUUAUAUUCUGUAGCAAGGUUAACCGUAUAGGGGAGCCGGAGGGAAACCGAGUCUUAACCGGGCGUUAAGUUGCAGGGUAUAGACCCGAAACCCGGUGAUCUAGCCAUGGGCAGGUUGAAGGUUGGGUAACACUAACUGGAGGACCGAACCGACUAAUGUUGAAAAAUUAGCGGAUGACCUGUGGCUGGGGGUGAAAGGCCAAUCAAACCGGGAGAUAGCUGGUUCUCCCCGAAAGCUAUUUAGGUAGCGCCUCGUGAAUUCAUCUCCGGGGGUAGAGCACUGUUUCGGCUAGGGGGCCAUCCCGGCUUACCAACCCGAUGCAAACUGCGAAUACCGGAGAAUGUUAUCACGGGAGACACACGGCGGGUGCUAACGUCCGUCGUGAAGAGGGAAACAACCCAGACCGCCAGCUAAGGUCCCAAAGUCAUGGUUAAGUGGGAAACGAUGUGGGAAGGCCCAGACAGCCAGGAUGUUGGCUUAGAAGCAGCCAUCAUUUAAAGAAAGCGUAAUAGCUCACUGGUCGAGUCGGCCUGCGCGGAAGAUGUAACGGGGCUAAACCAUGCACCGA